UAUAAAUAUUAAAGAGAAGACUUGAAAGAAAAAUAAGUGAAUAUAAAUUUUGUAUGAUAAGAUUUGAGUAGAAAAUAAUUAUAAGAAGAAACGGAAAAUUCUUUCACAAAAUAUCGUGUUUCUUUACAAAAUUAUUAAACAUAUUACUAAAUUAUGAUUAAAAUUUCUUUCUGCUCCUCUAUUUUGAACCACCCCAACCAAACUGUCGGCGUGCUUCUUCAUCGACUGUACUCUAUUUUCACUUUUUGGGCAAACAAAAACUUAGUCCAUAACAACGAAAACAUGGCCCAACCAGUCAAAACAAGAAGCCUAUUUCACUGAGGCCCAGAAUUAACUUUUUUUUUUUUUUUGCCACAAAGCCCAGAAUCAACUUAAUUAUAAUUUGGUUCGAGUUUUACGCGGUUUGAACGAGAAAUCGGGUUAAACUGGCAUGCUUUCAGAUCCAAAACGACCCGUUGCUAUAUAUCUAACGUAGAAGAGAAGGAUUGGAAGUUGCAGAGGAGAUAUACAUACAUAUAGAUACACAAGAGAUGAUAUACAGAAAAUGGAGUAUGCUCACCGGAACUAUUGCCGUCACCGGUGGAGCUGCCGCCUCCGUUUUUGUCGCCGAUCUCCUUUUCUUCCGUUCUGGUCUUUUCACUAAACCAGAACCCAGGAAAGUAGAAACAAUUGCUGCAACUCGGUAGAGAAUGUUGAGAGGACAAUAACAUGCAUAAGACCAUGAGCUAGGAAGAGAAAAAAUAAUAUGUCUAAUUUCGUUUCAGUGUUUAAAGCGUGUUGCUCGUGUCAAAUCCAAAUGGGUUUGAAUAUGAAGCUUUAACUUGAAUAAUUGACAUUUUAAUUUUUGUCACUAGAGCCACUUUGAUCCUGCUGAUCGUGUGAAGAGCCCUGAUGCACAAAAGUAUAUGCUCAUAACAUAUUGGGGUCCGUUUUUUCCUAUA